rnacentral:rRNA from 1 species
CCUACGGGGGGCAGCAGUGAGGAAUAUUGGUCAAUGGGCGCGAGCCUGAACCAGCCAAGUAGCGUGAAGGAUGACUGCCCUACGGGUUGUAAACUUCUUUUAUAAAGGAAUAAAGUGAGGCACGUGUGCCUUUUUGUAUGUACUUUAUGAAUAAGGAUCGGCUAACUCCGGGCCAGCAGCCGCGGUAAUACGGAGGAUCCGAGCGUUGUCCGGAUUUAUUGGGUUUAAAGGGAGCGUAGAUGGGUUGUUAAGUCAGUUGUGAAAGUUUGCGGCUCAACCGUAAAAUUGCAAUUGAUAAUGGCAGCCUUGAGUACAGUUGAGGUAGGCGGAAUUCGUGGUGUAGCGGUGAAAUGCUUAGAUAUCACGAAGAACACCGAUUGCGAAGGCAGCUUACUAAACUGCCACUGACAUUGAGGCUCGAAAGUGUGGGUAUCAAACAGGAUUAGAUACCCGAGUAGUC